rnacentral:rRNA from 1 species
UACGGAGGAUGCGAGCGUUAUUCGGAAUGAUUGGGCGUAAAGCGUCCGCAGGUGGCGUUGUAAGUCUGCUGUUAAAGAGUGAGGCUCAACCUCAUAAAAGCAGUGGAAACUACACAGCUAGAGUGCGGUAGGGGCAGAGGGAAUUCCUGGUGUAGCGGUGAAAUGCGUAGAGAUCUGGAGGAACACCGAUGGCGAAGGCAGCCUUCUGGGCCAACACUGACGCUCAUGCACGAAAGCGUGGGGAGCAAACAGG